AUGGCCAGAUUCCUGUAUUGCAAGAAGUUGGAACAGAGGACCCUCUGGGUUCCAUCCAACUCUACAAUUCUAAGAUUGUCUUCUUCACUGAUAAGCAGUGAGUGUCAAAGCACUCAUGCUACCCGAAAUCAGUCUUCGUCAACCUGGUCCAUCCCCAUUUAUAAUGUUUCAACUCCCAUCACCCCAGCCAAGCCAAGCCAAGCACUGGCUGCGCUAACUGUAGUUUCUGAACCAUAUUCAAAGACGGCCUCAUGUAAAAUGCAUUGCGUUCUAACCUGGAGGUUAUCAGAGCACAGACAGUGGAAGCCAGGCUAUCCAUGUCCAUAUAAGAUCAGACAUGGGCUACCAGCUGAAGCUGGUAGAAGACACGAUAUUGGAUUCAAAAGUACCCUCAGGAAGAAGAAGAAGAAGCAUUUAAAAUGGAAAAGUAAUGUCUCAAGAAGCUAAGCUAGAAGAACAAUAAAAAGGGCAGAUAGAUCAAACAUAGCCCUGCAGAGUUUAGCACAAUUACAGUUUUGCCGUCUGUUCUCAUGCUGUGCAGGGUUCGUUUUAAAAUCAGAUUUUUAAAAAAGCAAGUUUUAUACUGGCAAUUUUCACUAGAUAAUUUAGAAGCAUGUAAACAACUAAAAUGUCUUGGUUAAUAUUAACUGCUUAAAUUAUUCAUGCAUAAGACUCAGUGUAUUUCACCCCCAUGGCAAAAAAUUCAAGAGUUUCAAGCGCGCUACGACCAACCCCCCAACCCCCCAGUGUGAAUGGUUAGACAAAAAAGAUCUUUGUAUUUAGUGCAGAUAAAAAUGAAAAUUAAGAACAAACCUACUGUAGAAUUAACCACAGCAUAUUCUAUACAUCACAUGACAGGGUCAUUUGCUAACUUAAACUAUUUUUUAAAAAUUUCAAGUCAAGACUGACAUUUCUACUAAAUAAAUACAGGAGAUUGUCAAAAAGCAGCAACAAGUCUUGUAAAGAUUUUCAACAGAACUUUUUUUUUUUUUUUUGAAAGACACGUAACACCUUCUUUGUAAAAAAUAAAAUACUAACAACUUUUAUGGGAGGGUGCUUCAGAAAGUUUGCAGCUAAGAGGCUUACAACAGCGCAAAUAUAGCCAACUAAGGAUUAAGAAAAGUUAAAUAUUUGAAAGCAACUGGAUAUGUGUGAACAGUAUCCCCACCAUUAACUUAUUUCAGAAUUUAGUCACAGCAACUAUGCUUAAGACAUCGAAGCCUUAGCCUUUUAGAGAAGCACUUGAACUCACAUCUAAGGCAUUAGACUGACUGCACCUUACCAUUUGAAGCAUUGGGUUCAUGUUCAACUAUCAAGGGAACAUUUCACUGUCCUUCAUUCUUUUUCCAUCGCUAUUUCUUAAUAGCAUGGGCACACAAGACAGACUUGUCGUGCUGAAUGGAAACUGCUAAGCCAUUCAGACACACUGCAGUACCAAUUCACAUCUCCAGUUGGCUACACAGAGACUAAGGUGCAGAUUAGAUGCUGUAGGCAUACAGACUAUUUUGCACGCAGUUCUGCAGCACUGCUACUCCACGGAUUAAGCAUCAUUGUGGCAAUGUAGAGUUAUGAACUUUUGCAAAGAAAAGUGAAGAAAAGCAUUAGCUUUUUAGUUACCCAGCCUAUAUCCUUUACUAGCCUGACAUCUCAAUGCUGUUAAGAGAGACAACAAUGAGGGAAAAAAUAUAAACACAUCAUGACAGAUGCGCACAUUUUGUCUCUUAUGUUCAGGUCACUGUACCUCGAGCACGGUACAUAAAGAAACCCAAAGACAAAAGGCUUCUUGCUGAAUCUCUGGAAGAUGAGGUAUGUAACAAAACGAGGCUUUAUUGUCCUUUCAGUUUCACAGUUGUGUUCAAUGUAUUGUGCAAGAUUUAAAACGUACAAACUCAAGUGGGAUCAUGUUAGCACAAACGAGUUGGG
ensembl:lncRNA